AAUGACCAUUGAGCAGAUGUAGCUCUGCUUGCUACAACUCUUUGAGCUCUACUUUUGAGUCAGUCCAUCACCCAGCAAAGCAGGAAGCUGCCUGAAGUGAAUCAUGUUUGGACCCCCAGACUUCAGGAAGUUAAGCUGAUACAGCUGUUCCCUUACAAUAUUGGUGACCACAGAAAUCACUUUUCCUUUAUUCGUGGUCCUUCAACUCAGGAAUGGGCAGCAUAAGAUCUGUUAUAAUCUGAUUAUGUUUUAAUACAGUAUUAAAAACUUUUAAUAAGUAUUAAAAACAGAGGCAAAAAUGGAAUAAAUUGCAUUUACUUUUUCCUCAUUCUUCUCUUUUAGGUGAAGAUUUCUUUCAAGUAUCAGACCAGCAUUUUCCUUUGAUCACCUCUUUCUAUUUACAAACUUGAAAAAGCCUUUUGUUGUCGUUGUUGUCUGUCUGAGAUCAUACUGGCCAGCAUCAACUCAAACUAAGCUUUGGCUUUUCUUCUUUUCUCCCUGUAGAAACAAACUGCCACUGUGUACUCUCCUUGUGAAGCCAGAUCGUGCCCCUGAAGGUCAAGAUUUCUUUUUCUGACCUGGUUCCUGGUUCCCCGUUCACCAGGCCAGCCUUUUACCUCACUUAGCUUGACUUGUGGCACAACGGGAUUGACUGCUCCUUGGUUUUUAAAAGGCAAUUCUUGAAAAGCAACCAGCUAUCAUGGAAGAUGAGAGACUGGAGUAAAGUCUCAGGUAAUGCAGUAUCCAUAUGGGCCAGCCUGGUUCCUGGGAAGAAGUAACACCACCCCUUAGAUAAAACUCUUAAUCAGAAAAACUGAAAACCUUACAGCUGAAGGAACAAGUCAGAAUUUAUGCUACUACAUGGGAUUAAGCAGAUGAUCUUUGCUGCAGAAGAAGAUUACACUACAAAGUUCUAAUUUGUUUUUUAUUUUUAAAUUCCCUGACACUCUUCAGAGAAAAACACUUGGUCUGCAAGAGGAAAGAGCUCAUAUCCACUCAGAAAUAAAAGAGACCUCAAAUAGUAAGAAAAUCCAUACUUCCUUUGAAACACUGGACAAGCUCUGGAGGCAACUUUUGAGCAACUGGGAACAGAAUUGGAUGGCAACUGUAACUCUCUAUAUGGGAAUGAAUUACUGUAAGAAUUUUAAGAAUCUGUGCUUCCUCCCCCCCCCCCCCAAUUGAUAUUUCACACAAAACACAGCUAAAUAAAAG
rnacentral:lncRNA from 1 species